UCCCGGUUAACCCGGGCAGUCUCAUUAGAGUUCCCACCUUCACGUGUUGGCAACUAAUGAUAAGGGUUGCGCUCGUUGCGGGACUUAACCCAACACCUCACGGCACGAGCUGACGACAGCCAUGCAGCACCUGUGCACCAGCCCCGAAGGGAAGCGCCAUUUCUGGCGCCGUCUAGUGCAUGUCAAGCCUGGGUAAGGUUCUUCGCGUUGCAUCGAAUUAAACCACAUGCUCCACUGCUUGUGCGGGUCCCCGUCAAUUCUUUUGAGUUUCACCCUUGCGAGCGUACUCCCCAGGCGGUAUACUUAUCGCGUUGGCUACGGCACAACCAGGGUUGAGUCCGGUUACACCAAGUAUACAUCGUUUACGGCAAGGACUAC
rnacentral:misc_RNA from 1 species